GGAGAAGCCAGUGGCUCAGUGGUAGAGCAUCUGCUUCACAUGCAGAAGGUCCCAAGUUCAAUCUCUGGCUUCUCCA